AAAGGGUGGAUUUUUGGGUUCUUGUUUAACUUGUUAAAAGUGUUUUCAAGUAACUUUUGGAACCCUUAUGUACCCUAGUUUGGUUAUAUGUUAUUUCCCUAAAGUUUGAAUGGUUUUGGGAUGUUUUUGGAGUAAAAAUGUUCAUGGAAAUUUUUGGGUUUUUUCAUGAAUGUUCUUCAUUGUUCUUGACAUUUUUGCCAAGAACAAAAAGUUUUGUGUUUUGAUUCAAAGUUUUGAUUUAUUUCAUAAAGUUUAUGUUUUAUGAUUUUCAAAUGUUUAAUUGUUUUAGAUAUUUGUUUAAAUGGUGAUAGAAAUAAUGGUGGGUGUGAAAGGAUUAAUUCCCUUUCACACACACUA
rnacentral:lncRNA from 1 species